GAUGAAGAACGUAGCGAAAUGCGAUACGUAAUGUGAAUUGCAGAAUUCAGUGAAUCAUCGAGUCUUUGAACGAACAUUGCGCCCCCUGGUAUUCCGGGGGGCAUGCCUGUCCGAGCGUCAUUGCUGCCCUCAAGCACGGCUUGUGUGUUGGGCCUCCGUCCUCCUCCCGGGGGACGGGCCCGAAAGGCAGCGGCGGCACCGCGUCCGGUCCUCGAGCGUAUGGGGCUUCGUCACCCGCUCUUGUAGGCCCGGCCGGCGCUUGCCGACACAUCAAUCUUUUUUCCAGGUUGACCUCGGAUCAGGUAGGGAUACCCGCUGAACUUAAGCAUAUCAAUAAGCGGAGGA
rnacentral:misc_RNA from 1 species